rnacentral:rRNA from 1 species
GACGAACGCUGGCGGCGUGCCUAAUACAUGCAGGUAGAACAGUUGCGAACGGGUGAGUAACGCGUAGGUAACUGCCUCAUAGCGGGGGAUAACUCAUGGAAACGAUAGCUAAUACCGCAUACUGUGAGAUGGAACUGCGUUGUAUUAGAUAGUUGGUGAGGUAAAGGCGCACCACGGAGACGAUACAUAGCCGACCUGAGAGGGUGAUCUGCCACACUGGUACGGAGACAAGGCCCAUGAUCCUACCGGAGGCAGCAGUAGGGAAUCCUCGGCAAUGGACGUAAGUCUGACCGAGCAACGCCGCGUGAGUGAAGAAGUUUUUCGGAUCGUAAAGCUCUGUUGUUAGAGAAGCGGUACCUAACCAGAAAGGGCCGGCUAACUACGUGCCAGCCGCCGCGGUAAUUC